CGUAAUGGUCAUUCGAGACGUUA
rnacentral:siRNA from 1 species